UCUCUGUGAUGCAGUUCCAAUAGAUCCUUCUGAUCCCCACCGUGGACUCAAUGCAGGGGGAUGAAGAGGAAAGUGACUGAGAGA
ensembl:snoRNA SNORD62 Small nucleolar RNA SNORD62